rnacentral:rRNA from 1 species
UACGGAGGGGGCUAGCGUUGUUCGGAAUCAUUGGGCGUAAAGGGCGCGUAGGCGGCCGAUCAAGUCGGAGGUGAAAUCCCUCGGCUCAACUGAGGAACUGCCUUCGAUACUGUUCGGCUUGAGUCCUGGAGAGGGUAGCGGAAUUCCCGGUGUAGCGGUGAAAUGCGUAGAGACCGGGAAGAACACCAGUGGCGAAGGCGGCUACCUGGACAGGUACUGACGCUGAAGUGCGAAAGCGUGGGGAGCAAACAGG